rnacentral:rRNA from 1 species
UACGGAGGGGGCUAGCGUUGUUCGGAAUUACUGGGCGUAAAGCGCACGUAGGCGGCUUUGUAAGUUAGAGGUGAAAGCCCGGGGCUCAACUCCGGAAUUGCCUUUAAGACUGCAUCGCUUGAACACGGGAGAGGUGUGUGGAAUUCCGAGUGUAGAGGUGAAAUUCGUAGAUAUUCGGAAGAACACCAGUGGCGAAGGCGGCUCACUGGACCGUUGUUGACGCUGAGGUGCGAAAGCGUGGGGAGCAAACAGG